rnacentral:rRNA from 2 species
CACCGCGGUUAUACGAGAGGCCCAAGUUGACAGAUAUCGGCGUAAAGAGUGGUUAAUAAAAUAGAAACUAAAGCUGAACACCUUCUAGACUGUUAUACGUCCCCGAAGGCAGGAAGACCUCCAACGAAAGUGGCUUUAACCCAAAUAUGACCCCACGAAAGCUAGGGCA